rnacentral:rRNA from 1 species
GACGAACGCUGGCGGCGUGCUUAACACAUGCAAGUCGAACGGAAAGGCCCCUUUGGGGGUCCUCGAGUGGCGAACGGGUGAGUAACACGUGAGUAACCUGCCCUUGACUUCGGAAUAACUUCAGGAAACUGGGGCUAAUACCGGAUAGGAAUCCUUGCUGCAUGGUGGGGGUUGGAAAGCUUCGGCGGUUUUGGAUGGACUCGCGGCUUAUCAGCUUGUUGGUGGGGUAGUGGCUUACCAAGGCUUUGACGGGUAGCCGGCCUGAGAGGGCGACCGGCCACAGUGGGACUGAGAUACGGCCCAGACUCCUACGGGAGGCAGCAGUGGGGAAUAUUGCACAAUGGGCGGAAGCCUGAUGCAGCAACGCCGCGUGCGGGAUGACGGCCUUCGGGUUGUAAACCGCUUUCAGCAGGGGCGAAGCUUGUGGUGACGGUACCUGCAGAAGAAGCACCGGCUAACUACGUG